AAAUCUCAAGACACAUUCACAAACAAAUGGUUAUCACCAAGGUCUUCAUGCUCUACUCAUGUUGACAUGAGUUGUAUUAAUUGGUGACUGGAAGUCCAGGAUCUGUUGAGGAAGUCAGUGACCCUUAAUCAGGAACACUGCCUUGGAAGGUGGUGGACCUUUAAAACAGAAGCUUCUCAGUUUUUGUAGCAUCUGAUAUGAGAGAAUAUGCUAGAUAUUCAUAAACUUAGGGCCAGGCAAUGUGGGGCCCCUGGAAUGCUACUGGGCACUCUCUAACCUAGUCCUAGAAAUUUCAGUUCCAAUAAUGUUUUCUUCUUCUUUUCUAGAUAAGAAACUAUAUGUAUCUCGUGGAUCUGCCAGUACCAGCCUUCCAAAUGAAACUCUUUCAGAGUUAGAGACACCUGGGAAAUACUCACUUACACCACCAAACCACUGGGGCCACCCACAUCGAUACCUGCAGCAUCUUUAGUCAAGUUGGAGGAGAAAGACAACACUUGGUCUAAGACACGGCAGCAAGACAUCCCUGCAUAUUGUUCCAGAUAAAAAUGAAAGCUGCUCACACCCACUUGCCUCCCCAAUCUGUUAAACAGCUUCGUGUCUAGUAUGAGCUCAGUACUUGCCCUGUGAAAAUCCCAGAAGCCCCCGCUGUCAAUGUUCCCCAUCCACACCCUGCUUGCUCCUGUGUAACAGCUCAGAUGAUGAAUAAUAAUAAAACUGUACUUUUUUGGAUGGUGCUA
rnacentral:lncRNA from 1 species